AUUGAACGCUGGCGGCAGGCCUAACACAUGCAAGUCGAGCGAGCGGCGGACGGGUGAGUAAUGUCUGGGAAACUGCCUGAUGGAGGGGGAUAACUACUGGAAACGGUAGCUAAUACCGCAUACCAUCAGAUGUGCCCAGGGGGGAUUAGCUAGUAGGUGGGGUAACGGCUCACCUAGGCGACGAUCCCUAGCUGGUCUGAGAGGAUGACCAGCCAAACUGGGACUGAGACACGGGCCAGACGCCUACGGAAGGCAGCAGUGGGGAAUAUUGCACAAUGGGCGAAAGCCUGAUGCAGCCAUGCCGCGGGUGUGAAGAAGGCCUUCGGGUUGUAAAGAAAUUUCAGCGGGGAGGCGUUACCCGCAGAAGAAGCACCAGCAAACUCCGUGCCAGCAGCCGCGGUGAUUC
rnacentral:rRNA from 1 species